GGGGAUAUAGCUCAGUUGGUAGAGUGUUUGCCUUGGAAGCACAAGGCCCUGGGUUCAAUCCCCAGUACCGAUACCCCCC